rnacentral:rRNA from 1 species
GACGGGGGAUGCGAGCGUUAUCCGGAAUGAUUGGGCGUAAAGGGUCCGCAGGUGGCCCGGUCAGUCCGCUGUCAAAGCCUGGGGCUCAACCCCGGAGAGGCGGCGGAGACCACCGGGCUUGAGUCCGGUAGGGGCAGAGGGAAUUCCCGGUGGAGCGGUGAAAUGCGUAGAGAUCGGGAAGAACGCCAAGGGCGAAGGCACUCUGCUAGGCCUGAUUUCGCGACUGACACUCAGGGACGAGAGCCAGGGGAGCGAAUGGG